UUCAUUCACAUGUAUGCACUUGUGUCGACUUUUGUUAACUUGCGUGAAAUCAAGUUAAUAACCUUGAUACGAUGAAUGAAAAUCUACGCUUGAUCAUAUUGAACUCACCAUCUAAGCAGAUGAGUUACUCGAAGUUGACUUGUGUCAUCGACAAAAAACCAUAUAAAUGUAAUGGAAAGCAGCAAGGAUACUAAGAGUGAGGCUGUGUCAACUUGUGAACCACGUGUUUCCAUUAAAUGGAAAGCAUCCUGUAUCAACUUACAUCGUACCAACUUCUUAUAGAAUGUAGAACAAAUGUUGCUUCCCAUUUACAUCAAAACUCAGAUAAAUCUCACUUUUGUUUCUUUUUAACAUGGAUGUUAAAAAAAGACAGAAGUGAGAUUUAUCUGAAUUUGUAUGUAAAUAGAAAGCAACUAAAGAUAUAAAACAAUGCUUGUGCCAACUUGUGUUGCUAAAUAGAAGGCACCCCAUAUUACCAUUGGAAGAGUCGAAAGAAGCUCUUCCCUUCCCGACAUAACCUAAUCAAACUGCGAAGAAGUCUUCCAGCUGCAUGUCGCGCGUCGUUAGCGUCGCAACAGAAGGCCUAAUAUCGACGCGUAUCUCAUAGCCCAACAGACGAAUCUGCGCAAAUUGUAGUAUCUGAUCAUUAGUAUAGCAAUAUAGUGUAUAUCGUCUUGCCACAAUGUCAUGAUGCAGUGCGCGGCAAUCAACCGUUUAUUUCGCAGUGCGGCCAUGAAUGCCGAUGAUUAUAUCGAGCUCUGAGUUUGGGAAAGAUCGUCCUCACUUAGUCUCGCCUUCUCGCUCUAGCUGAUCAUUAUGAUCGCGCUGAUCCGCGUGCGCCUGUUGCUGUUCUGCUACACUAUAAGUGAUCCCGAGACAAGAGGUAACGACCAGUGUUCGAGUGAAUUUUUCCUGUCUCUUCUCGUUCCUGAUCUAAUUUCCUGGUUUCCGCUUUUUCUCCUGCGAAAUAUUAAUGACGCAGAUUCUGCGUUUUGCUUCCGAGUACAGAAAAGUGCAGAAAAGUGCAAUCGCGUAUCUGCAUCGCGCGCUUGUCGACAAAACGAAGGGCGUAGUACCCUACCUGACGAAGUAAAUGAGUAAUACACACAGGGUGUUUUGCCAAAAGUGACCAGUGGUAGACGUCACCCGCGAUAUUUAAAGUCAAUAAAAUUCUUAUAGUAUGUAAAAUAUUUAUAUUAAAUCAUACAUUGUUGUAUUCAUUUCAAAAUAGUGCUACAGCAAUUAUAUCAAAAUAUCCACAUUGCAUUAUUAAAAAAUUAUGCACCUCUCGUUCGUCAACACAGAUAUAGCUUUUGUAAGCAACCACUGUGCUCACAGUAAAGUUUAGUUUGAACUAUUUAAUUUAAUAGAGGAAAAAGUGGUAAUGUGGCCCUUGCUGAUAUAUUAGCCUCCUCUCUUAUCAAAUUAACUAAUAACGCCAAUCAAAAUUUGUUUAGCGUAUUACAUAAAACUUAGAAUAGUGGCAAUUAAACGCUCUUAAAUGUUGUUGUCUGACAAUUCGUUUGUCAUUAGUUGACUUCUCGGUACACACAAGUAAAAUUUUCGUGUCGAAAGUUUUUUUAUAAACUAUUGAAAAAACGAGUUCUAGAUGAGAUAUUAAAAUUAAAAAACAUUCCAUCUUGAAUAUAUUCAAGAUAAAAUCAUGAUAUUUUUGCUUAUUUGUUAUUAUUGCUUUUUUUAUACAAACAUGAUGCUGUUUCUAAUACGGCCCCCUUUCUCCGGGAUAGAUAUUUUUAUUUUAUUAUUUUAUUCAUUUAACAAUUGGUGUUUAAUAAUUAGUUAUUUGUUUAAUUAAUGCGCGGAAACAGAAGAAGAGUUUGCAAUUUUUAUCGCUAACUUAUUUUUAAUAAUGAAUUAUUGUUAUGUAGAUUUUUUGAGUUUAUAUAUUGACAGUAUUAAAAAUUUAAUUUUUUUUCAAAGAGAGUAAUUCUUUAGUCGCUAAAUGUUGAUUUUAUACCGAAUUUAAAUAUAAUUUUUGGUUCGUACAUUUAUGGUCACCAAGAUGUCAUAUUACCUGCAUAUUAUUUCAUUUCGUCAUAU